rnacentral:tRNA from 1 species
CACCAUUAGCUCAGUUGGUAGAGCAACUGACUCUUAAUCAGUGGGUCCCGGGUUCGAGUCCCUGAUGGUG